rnacentral:tRNA from 13 species
GGUUCUGUGGUGUAGUGGUUAUCACGUCUGCUUUACACGCAGAAGGUCUCCGGUUCGAUCCCGGGCAGAACCU